rnacentral:rRNA from 1 species
AGAGUUUGAUCCUGGCUCAGAAUGAACGUUGGCGGCGUGGAUUAGGCAUGCAAGUCGAACGAGUCUCUGGGGGGUAACUCCUAGAGGAAAGUGGCGAAAGGGGCAGUAAUGUAUGGGUAACCUACCUUGAGGUCUGGGAUAGCCAUUCUAACGGAUGGGUAAUACUGGACGGCCUGAGUUGUCGGCAUCGAUGACUUAGUAAAGGUUACGCCUCGAGAGGGGCCCAUAUGAUAUUAGCUAGUUGGUGAGGUAAUGGCUCACCAAGGCAAAGAUGUCUAGCGGGUGUGAGAGCACGACCCGCGUCAUUGGCACUGAGACACUGGCCAAACUCCUACGGGAGGCUGCAGUCGAGGAUCUUCGGCAAUGGACGAAAGUCUGACCGAGCAACGCCGCGUGUGCGAUGAAGGCCUUCGGGUUGUAAAGCACUGUCGAGGGGAAACAAGCCGUAAGGUUGAGUGACCCCUGGAGGAAGCACGGGCUAAGUUCGUGCCAGCAGCCGCGGUAAGACGAACCGUGCAAACGUUAUUCGGAAUCACUGGGCUUAAAGGGCGCGUAGGCGGGUGAUCAAGUCAAUGGUGAAAUCCUCCAGCUUAACUGGAGAAGUGCCUUUGAUACUGAUUGUCUAGAGGGAGGUAGGGGCAUGUGGAACUUCAGGUGGAGCGGUGAAAUGCGUAGAUAUCUGAAGGAACGCCAGUGGCGAAAGCGAUGUGCUGGACCUCUUCUGACGCUGAGGCGCGAAAGCUAGGGGAUCAAACGGGAUUAGAUACCCUGGUAGUCC